ACGGAAGGCAGCAGUGAGGAAUAUUGGUCAAUGGACGGAAGUCUGAACCAGCCAAGUCGCGUGAAGGAUGAAGGUAUUAUGUAUUGUAAACUUCUUUAGCAGUGGAGUAAUAAGGGGAUCGCGAUCCCUGAUGCAAGUACACUGAGAAUAAGGAUCGGCUAACUCCGUGCCAGCAGCCGCGGUAAUACGGAGGAUCCGAGCGUUAUCCGGAUUUAUUGGGUUUAAAGGGUGCGCAGGCGGCCCUGUAAGUCAGCGGUUAAAUCGUGAGGCUCAACCUCAUCCCGCCGUUGAUACUGCAGGGCUUGAUUGCGGUCGAGGUUGGCGGAAUUCGUCGUGUAGCGGUGAAAUGCAUAGAUAUGACGAAGAACACCGAUUGCGUAGGCAGCUGACCAGACCGUAAAUGACGCUCAUGCACGAAAGUGCGGGGAUCGAACAGGAUUAGAUACCCUGGUA
rnacentral:rRNA from 1 species